GGCCUCGUUCUGCACCCUGGGAGCCUCGUGCGCCCCGCUGAGCCGGGACACCCAGGGACCCUGCCCGUGUCCCGCGGACCUGAGUCCCUGGCUGUCCCUUCCCGGGUCCGCAGCCCAGGCGUGCAGGGUGCUCUCCCGCUCGGCUCUGCCCCGCACGCUGCUUGUUGCCUGUGUCUUCCUGGUGCCCUCGCCCACGGUGAGAAUCUGAGUUUCUCCACAAGGGUGUGUCGCAGACCGGAGAAAAUCGAGUUUGAUCCGGUUUAUCUCUCUGUGCUGACCAGAAGCAAGGGCAGGGAGAGACAGCGGAAAGUCUGGCUUAGUGCUAGCAGCUUUCACAAGGAAAGUGAGCGCGUGUGUGCCGGAAACUCACAGUGACCCUGCUUCGCCUGGUUCACGCGGAGGAUACUCGGCCCUGGGUGCGACACGUGGGUGCUGUGUCUCCUCCUGAAUAGCUGCAGGACACAGAGAGACGUGACUGACUGCGGACUCGGGCGCAUGUAUCCACUUCUAGCCUGUGAGCCUGACCCAGGAACCAUUGUUGCCCUCCGGGGACCGUGACAGCCCUGGCGGCCAAUCCCUGAAAACCCCUGCCCUUGCCCUUCGAGUGUAGAACACAGAGCGCAGCCCACUCUGGGCCAGAGCAGCCCGUCUGGAUGUGGUAACCACCGUCUCCCUCCAUCCUCCCCAGGUCCCCACUGGGCUGGAGAAGUCCUGUAUUUAAUAAGUCGUGUGAGACGCAAGGCCUCCUACAGCGGUCAGCACUCGGGGUACUGGGUUCUACGGGAAGUCCUGAGUGUGACACAGUGGUGUGGGGGCUUAGAAGACUCGAGGUGUGCGACUGCUCCCGCAUUUAAAGAUGUGACUUUCUGCCACCCAUGGGCGUGCACCGCCCAUGAUCCUAGCACUCUGAGAGGCUGAGACAGGAGGACCUCGAGUUCAAGUCCAGCCUGGGCAGCUUAGCAAUUGAACAGCUUAGCGGGACCCUGCCUCAGAAAAUAGCAUGAAGAUCAAAGAGAUCUGGCACCUGCUGUUUUAAGGAUCCAGUAUUCCGGGACAGCUUACUUUAACUUCUUCCCCACAAUAACAAAAGCGUCUUACUGAAGCAAACUACAGAGUGGCAAAAUAUAAUUUAAUGAAGUUUUAAUGUAGCUCCGGGAAGCUAAACUACAGGUGACGCAGCUUCUCCUGCUCGCGCUCCUCUCCCACGUCCUGCCUGUCACUCUGCUGUCACCUGUCACUGGCUUCUGCCAUUCCGUGAGAGCCGGUGCCCCACCAUCCUGGUCCGAUCCGCUUCUCAGAGUUGCUGGGUGAAGGACAGC